UGCCCAGCAACUCGUAUCCCUACCUCCUCGCGGUACCGGCCGGAAACUAUGAGCAAGAUGAAGCAAGAAACGAUGAGCAAGGGAAGAUCGGGUAACCAACCCCGGUGGGAACUUUGGUCGUAGGCUGAUAGGGAAGG
rnacentral:ribozyme from 1 species